rnacentral:rRNA from 1 species
AGUGAACGCUGGCGGUAGGCCUAACACAUGCAAGUCGAACGGCAGCACAGUAAGAGCUUGCUCUUACGGGUGGCGAGUGGCGGAUGGGUGAGGAAUACAUCGGAAUCUACUUUUUCGUGGGGGAUAACGUAGGGAAACUUACGCUAAUACAGCAUAUGACCUACGGGUGAAAGCAGGGGAUCUUCGGACCUUGCGCGAUUGAAUGAGCCGAUGUCGGAUUAGCUAGUUGGCGGGGUAAAGGCCCACCAAGGCGACGAUCCGUAGCUGGUCUGAGAGGAUGAUCAGCCACACUGGAACUGAGACACGGUCCAGACUCCUACGGGAGGCAGCAGUGGGGAAUAUUGGACAAUGGGCGCAAGCCUGAUCCAGCCAUACCGCGUGGGUGAAGAAGGCCUUCGGGUUGUAAAACCCUUUUGUUGGGAAAGAAAAGCAGCAGGUUAAUACCCCGCUGUUCUGACGGUACCCAAAGAAUAAGCACCGGCUAACUUCGUG